CCUCAGGCGUUCUCAUGGGGUGGAAACAGAGGUUUGACUGCAUGGGAGCCCUUCCAUUGUAUAUCCCAGGACACCUCAAGGAGAUUUUUGAUGCAGAUUAUCCAAAGGAGAUGCUUCGAUUUAUCUAUUGUCACCAGAGUGGGGAUUACGCAUUGAGAGAAAGAGCGUUUCAGAUCGUACCAGCUG